GGCAAGGUGGCCGAGCGGUCCAAGGCGCCACGUUAAGGUUUAUCCUUAAUUCAUCCCUCCGCAGAAGGAGUGUUAUCCGUGGUCUCGAAAGGGGCGUGAGUUCGAAUCUCACCCUUGUCA
rnacentral:tRNA from 1 species